rnacentral:rRNA from 1 species
CCUACGGGAGACAGCAGUGAGGAAUAUUGGUCAAUGGGCGCGAGCCUGAACCAGCCAAGUAGCGUGAAGGAUGACUGCCCUACGGGUUGUAAACUUCUUUUAUAAAGGAAUAAAGUGAGGCACGUGUGCCUUUUUGUAUGUACUUUAUGAAUAAGGAUCGGCUAACUCCGUGCCAGCAGCCGCGGUAAUACGGAGGAUCCGAGCGUUAUCCGGAUUUAUUGGGUUUAAAGGGAGCGUAGAUGGGUUGUUAAGUCAGUUGUGAAAGUUUGCGGCUCAACCGUAAAAUUGCAAUUGAUACUGGCAGUCUUGAGUACAGUUGAGGUAGGCGGAAUUCGUGGUGUAGCAGUGAAAUGCGUAGAUAUGUGGAAGAACACCGAUGGCGAAGGCAGCCUCCUGGGACGCAACUGACGCUCAUACACGAAAGCGUGGGGAGCAAACAGGAUUAGAUACCCCUGUAGUC